ensembl:antisense Nron non-protein coding RNA, repressor of NFAT
AGUACAACUGCAUGCUGAAAUAGGAGACUGCUAGACAGACCACACUGGCACCUGAGGCACCCGCGAGGAGGAGGAGGACAAAAAUCGAGUUUCCACAUUUGAAAGUGAACCUGCCAGCCCCAAGAACGUGCCAAAUCCAGUCGGCUGCGAUGCACAGCCUCAGCACCAGGUGUGAGGACGUGCUUAAUGAACACCACUUAAUGAAGAAAAAGGCUCUGAGAAAACACCUGGUGCGAGCAGGGUGCGGGAGUCACGGAGAUGGGCCUUCCCUGCACCUGCUGGCAUUUUAAUCAGCACCUUUUGGAGUAUCCCCACUACAAGCUGGUCACGGUGUCAGAAGAAGGUCCCUGGCCAGUGACUACACUCACUGACAGUCUGGGGACCCUUGCUUCUUAAGGACCAUAUGCUCAGGGGCCGGCUCCCCCUGAAGGUAAUUAAAAUGCAUCAUUUCAGUUGCAAGGACCUGGCCUGCAUGAGACCCCUCUCAGACCUCUCAGAAUGGCUCCUGCUUCCAGGUCCUCGGAGGGCCUAUCCUGGGACUGAGCUCUGAAGCGUCCCAGUGAAGCCAGAGGCUCCUCAUUCUUGGGCCCCGGUCCUGGAAAACAGAAUGGCCGCAUUUCAGCAGCCACAGGCCCCGACUUGUUUUCUGUUGUGCUCUUUCUUCUCUUGCUGCUCUUGGAAGGCCAUUCCCAGUCACCGCCACUGUCGUUUUUUAUAGUCUGAUGUGACAUUUUUCCACACCAGCAAAGGUCUCCUGCUAAGCACUGUGCUAUGUGCUGAGAUGGCUUAAGAAGCCAGAGUGAAGCACGUUCUCCCAGCAGGAGUUUACUGGCCACAAACUGAAACACACAUAAAUCUAUCACAAAGCGAAAAAGCUCUAAAAUCCAAAGACUAGAGGAGUAUAAGGUUUCAGACUUUGGUUUUAAAAUAAUAGAGGGUUGGGGACAACAGCCAACACCUGUUGACAGUCUCCUGCAAGGCCUCACCUGGGAAGGGGAGAAACGGCUCAGGCAACAAAACAGCUACUCCUGGGUCAAAGUGACAAUGCCACAGACACAAGCAAUGUCUGGUGGAGAGAGAUGGAAGACAGCGUGGACUCAGUGGAGAAGGGCUUUCUGGGGAAGGGAUGCCAGAGGCUCCUGGGAGUAGGAUGGUUUCUACUAUUCAAAUGCCCCACAACCAUCUCUAAACAACCCAGUAGGGUUCACAGUGUUCUACGGAUGGGGACACAGUGGCUCAGAGGGUGUUACCCAAGGUCACAGAGCUAAAGAAAAUGGCUGGGCUGCCAAUGAAACCAUGCUCUUUCUACAACAACAUGUUACCCAAGGAACUGCACAAACACAAAAGUGUUCGCUUCUGUCCAAGCCACCCAUUUGAUCAAUACGACGCCAGCCUACCAACCUAUAUGAUGAGUUUCCCUCAUGGGCCAUCCCCAGCCCUCACAGAGCAUAAUGCACUAGACAAGCCAAAAAAACCAAAACAAAAUCUGUCAUAGGAAGUCUAAGGAAUCUCAGCUCCCCGAGUUCCCGCGGCGCAGCUUUAAAGUGCGCGCAGCUCGACGGCAUAUGGCAAAUCAAUUACUAGUUUAAAUCUUAAAACAAAAACAUGGCAAAUGCAGCACGGAAAUAAUCAGGUACAAUGGUGCAGCUCGGAUUACAGCGGCCACUGGAGUUUUGAAUACAAUUAAUCAUCGUUCCAGGCAAUGGGAAGCCAUAUUGACACUUAUUCCUAAUUUGAAUAUUUAAUUAGGGUGAAGUUCUUCAUCAAAUUAUCGUAGAACUGGGAGAAAGCCUGGAAGACUUACACAAUUACCAUCUUAACCCCUUCCCAGCUGCUCCCUGCCUGAGAACACUCUGGCUCUGCAGGGAGGAGGACUCCUGCUCUGUUCUGCCCUGAUUCUGUUGGGAGUAGGGGUGGGGGGUGUAUGGAAGAGUUAAGAUUGAGAGGAGAAAGCAAAAAAAAAAAAAAAAAAAAAGAGCCCAGCAUGUGACCUAGGCCUGCAGUGACUUGAGAUGGAGAUCCAGAUGAGCACUGGAGAAGAGCUGCAUGCUGCAUGCCGAUGGAGCACCAGCUACAACAGGUCUACCCUACCCCCACUCAACCCUCCCCAGGAGCUGCUUAGAGAAGGAGAAACAGAGGCUUGGAGGAGUGCUGAGACUUGCCCCAAGUGGUCAAGUCAGCCCAGUUACUCAUCACCUAGCAGUUCCCACAGCAGCUCCCUCAGCCAUUGGCUGGUUCAUCAGCUAGUCAACAUGGACUCUCAGCCCACUUGUGAGACUUUGUGAUCCCUGCUGCAGCCUCUUGGGCAUAUAUUCACUCUGUAAACCAUGUCCAUGUAAAAAAUACGUAGACGUGCUUCCUGUGUGCUGUGUGAUAUGAGAGUUAACAUUAGUAAUUAAGAUAGGAAUGAGAGAGCUUGCACUUGCCUUGGUCAAGCUACCACGGAAGGUGGGUUUAUGACAAAUUGCCAUCAUCAGAACUGCUCAGUAAAUUCUGACAUUGUGAGACGUUACAA